GGGGUGAGCGCCGGAUCUUGGGCUGUGUCCCCGGUGCCCUGUGCUCCCGGGCCUGCGCUCUUGGAAUUGCACUCCCGGCCACACAGCUCCCU
rnacentral:pre_miRNA from 1 species